rnacentral:lncRNA from 1 species
AAUAGAAUGAUACUACUACUACUGUUGGAAACUUUACAAUCCUACAGGAACUGGGACUUUAAUAUUCAGACCUAAACCAUCUGAUCCCAGUUGUGAUACGUCUAUCACAUGAAUGAUGAAUGAUGGCAUGAAUGAUGAAAACCAGAGUACCGACUAAGGCUGGGUUAAUGUUGGCACUAAGACCUGGGGCUGGUCAACUACCCACAACUACCAUACCAAGAAGUAGAUGAAAACAGCAGAGGGUUAGCCUCAGCUGGCCUCCAAUUAAGAAUCUAUUCCAUUCUGAGUUGUGUAUCUGUUUUUCAGGCUGAUUUGCAAUAAUUGAUAUGCAGCUGAUAUAAUAAUCAUCCUCUCCUUAUUAUAUCAUGUAUGGUCUUUUUGAGAUCUGGUGAAAGUAAAUUCAAUUUAUACGUUUAAGUGAACAAAUGAUGU